CUUAAACUGUUCUGAGUGCAAAAAAAAUCUGAUGAAGUAAGAAGACAUUUGUUUCUUUGACCAAUAUAUUUCCAAAUAUACUGCAACUUACAAUAUGAGUGUCAAUCUGGGAAAACGGGGCUUAAUGCACAGGUGUAAAGUGUCGACCUAGAUAAGGCUGUGCAGUUCACACAGACUUAUCACAGACAACAAUUGCUGCUUAUAUGGAUAUUUUGUUUAAAGAAAGUCUCUUCUUUACUAAAAUCCAUUCUAACUUAGCGGAACAUGUCAUCCCUGAUUAGUCUGUACAGACUUGAGAUGCAAUAAACCACCUUUUCCAAAAGCGAUGCAGAAAUAUGAUUUUGGUGGAAUACAAUUAUGGUUGUAACGAUUGGUAGUCAUAGCGUGCAAUAAUAAUGUUUUUUCAACCCUCAGUAAUCCUUGAGAAGACAAUACGAAUACCCCGCUCGUUGUCUGUGAAGGCUGCGUCUGUCUUGAAGGGCUUCCUCAACAAAAAUCAAAAAGAGCGACUAGGCUGUCACCCACAGGCUGGGUUCUCUGACAUCCAGUCUCAUGCGUUCUUCCGCUCUAUCGACUGGGACGCACUCCAGAACAAGCAGAUACCUCCGCCAUACAAACCGCAGCUGAAGGGGGGGAACGUGACCUUGAGCACUUUGACCCGGCCUUCACAAACGAACCCGUUCAGUUGACCCCUGACGACCCGAAAGUGAUUGAGAAAUUGACCAAUCAGAAUUUGACGGCUUGAAUACGUGAAUCCAUUACUGAUGUCCAUAGAAGAUUGUGUAUGAGACAGAAAAUCUUAGCAAUUCAAAAACUGGUAUAUCAGUUGCUCUCUUUCAACAGCCUCAACCAAUCAGAGUGAGGGUCACACAUUUGAAAUGUCUAGCAAUUGG